rnacentral:pre_miRNA from 1 species
CCGAGCCUCGAGCUCGCCGGAUCUGGCGGCGGAGCUCGCGGCUCGCCGGAUCCAGGCGAGCUUGAGCUCUGUCGCCAGAUCCGGUGAGCUCGGGUGAGAU